rnacentral:rRNA from 1 species
UACGAAGGGAGCUAGCGUUGUUCGGAAUCACUGGGCGUAAAGCGCACGUAGGCGGAUGUGUCAGUCAGGGGUGAAAUCCCGGAGCUCAACUUCGGAACUGCCUUUGAUACAGCACAUCUGGAGUCCGGAAGAGGUGGGUGGAAUUCCUAGUGUAGAGGUGAAAUUCGUAGAUAUUAGGAAGAACACCGGUGGCGAAGGCGAGUCUCUGGGCCGAUACUGACGCUGAGGAGCGAAAGCGUGGGGAGCGAACAGG